GGGGGGCGUGUCCACCGAGACAGAGAGGAACUCACAGAACCCUGCCCUGGAAUGGAACAUGGCCAGCAGUAUCAGGAGACACCAGGAGAGGAGAGCCAUCCUCACCCCCAUCCUGACGGACUUCUCUGUCAGAGUGACAGCAGCACCUGCCAUCAUAUUCAGCACACCCAGAUCCCCUGACAACAGACAAGUGGAGGAGGUGCUGGUGUGUGGUC